rnacentral:rRNA from 1 species
AACGAACGCUGGCGGCAUGCCUAACACAUGCAAGUCGAACGAGACCUUCGGGUCUUGUGGCGCACGGGUGCGUAACGCGUGGGAACCUGCCCUUAGGUUCGGAAUAACUCCCCGAAAGGGGUGCUAAUACCGGAUAAUGUCUUCGGACCAAAGAUUUAUCGCCUUUGGAUGGGCCCGCGUUGGAUUAGCUAGUUGGUAGUGUAAAAGCCUACCAAGGCGACGAUCCAUAGCUGGUCUGAGAGGAUGAUCAGCCACACUGGGACGGAGACACGGCCCAGACUCCUACGGGAGGCAGCAGUAGGGAAUAGUGGAAAAGGGGCGAAAGCGUGAUCCAGCAAUGCCGCGUGAGUGAUGAAGGCCUUAGGGUUGUAAAGCUCUUUUACCCGGGAUGAUAAUGACAGUACCGGGAGAAGAAGCUCCGGCUAACUCCGUG